AAAAUAGUUUGCCAAUGGGCUGAAGCCUGAAUUCUCACCAUUAGAAGCUUCACUUCUUUAGAAGAACAGUUUGAUUCGUUGAACUUUCAUUGGUUAUUGAUAAGAGGGAGGAAUCGCUGCCCAUGGGAGAAUGGAAUCCUAAGAAUUUCCCCUAUCAGCUUUGAAAGGUCAUUUAUUCUUGUAGCAUGGGAAUUUCCAGUGAGAAAGUCUAUCUUCUCUGACCCUUCUUCUCUACCUCCCUCCAUCCCAAGGUUAGUCUGCCCAGGGGGUAAA
rnacentral:lncRNA from 1 species